GGGGGCGCAAUGGUUUCGACGGGGGCAAGUUGCUCCUGGGAAGCGAGUCGAAGGGAUCCUGUACCUGCGUUAAAAAACUGGGAACUUAAAUAUAAUUGCAAACGAUAAUUUUGCAUUAGCUGCCUAAUAGUUGCAGCUCGUCAGCCUAAGAGUCCCACGACUUAGGGUCUGGCGUCGACAGUGGGGAACCGAGCCUUACAAAGCUUUGAGUAAGGAACGGAAUUAAUGAAGCUACUGAAUCUAAGAGCCUGUUUAUCGGCGCUUAGAGGAGGGAAUGUAAAAGGAUAAACUGCACUCGGAGAUGCCCAGGGGUUGCUGCUUUCGGACAGGGGUUCGAUUCCCCUCGCUUCCACCA
rnacentral:tmRNA from 1 species